UUUGAGAGUUUGAUCCUGGCUCAGAACGAACGCUGGCGGCGUGCCUAACACAUGCAAGUCGAGCGCGAAAGUCCCUUCGGGGGCGAGUAGAGCGGCGGACGGGUGAGUAAUACAUAGGUAAUCUACCUUCGAGCUUGGGAUAACCCCGCGAAAGUGGGGCUAAUACCGGAUAAGACCACGCAACCAUGUUGCGGGGUAAAAGGUGGCUUAUUUUUUAAAUGAGCUGUCACUUGAGGAUGAGCCUAUGGCCUAUCAGCUUGUUGGCGGGGUAAGAGCCCACCAAGGCUAUGACGGGUAGCUGGUCUGAGAGGACGACCAGCCACACUGGGACUGAGACACGGCCCAGACUCCUACGGGAGGCAGCAGUGGGGAAUAUUGGGCAAUGGGCGCAAGCCUGACCCAGCGACGCCGCGUGGGCGAUGAAGGCCUUCGGGUUGUAAAGCCCUGUCAUGCGGAAAGAACGACCCUGUGACGCAUACUCACAGGGAGUGACGGUACCGCAGGAGGAAGCACCGGCUAACUCCGU
rnacentral:rRNA from 1 species